rnacentral:rRNA from 1 species
UACGUAGGGUGCAAGCGUUGUCCGGAAUUAUUGGGCGUAAAGAGCGCGUAGGCGGUCAGUCGCGUCUGCUGUGAAAACUCGGGGCUUAACCCCGGGCCUGCAGUGGGUACCGGCAGACUAGAGUGCGGUAGGGGAGACUGGAAUUCCUGGUGUAGCGGUGAAAUGCGCAGAUAUCAGGAGGAACACCGGUGGCGAAGGCGGGUCUCUGGGCCGUAACUGACGCUGAGGCGCGAAAGCGUGGGGAGCGAACAGG